rnacentral:rRNA from 1 species
UACGGAGGGAACUAGCGUUGUUCGGAUUUACUGGGCGUAAAGGGCGCGUAGGCGGUUUAUUAAGUUAGAAGUGAAAGCCCAGGGCUUAACCCUGGAACUGCUUCUAAAACUGAUUGACUAGAGUGCGGGAGAGGAUAGUGGAAUUCCUAGUGUAGAGGUGAAAUUCUUAGAUAUUAGGAGGAACACCAGUGGCGAAGGCGGCCAUCUGGACGGUCACUGACGCUGAGACGCGAAAGCGUGGGUAGCAAACAGG